GGGAGUCAGUUCACAGGCCCUGGGGGUGGGGGGGCCCUUCCCCUCCCUCAGCAGCGCCUGUCUUCUCUCUCCCUUGCCCCUGCCGUUGCCUAAAUGCAACCAUUAAUGCAGGAGCUUCCCAACGGCUCAGCGCCCCUGCCCUCAGGCCCUUUCCCCUUGAUCCACCCUCUUUUCUGCUACCAGGGAGCUUCUGGAAGGCAGGUCUGAGCGUGCUUAACUCCUGUGGAAAGCCCUGCAGUGUUGAACUCACCUUUCCAGGCUCCUCUUGAACAGUAGCUCUUCUGUGAGGCUUCUCUCAGGAGUUGGGGCUUGGUGAGCAGACAAAAAUGAAAAGGAACAAGUCAUUGCAAUGGUCUCAUGCCGGCACAAUGUUCAUGGACACCUGAGAAAGGUGUUCUUGUGAUCUUCUUCCAGUAUUUUCUGCCUUGAAUAAAACACCAGAGCUCUACUGCCCAUCCGCUCCCAUGAGCCACACCCCAGGGGUGACCCCAGAUGCCUUCCUCCCCUCACUCUACCCCAGCCAGUGACAGGCCUAACAGCUACUGUGAUUUUCAAGCAGUGAUGAGCAUAAUUGACACCUUCAUGUAUCUGCAACAAUGUGACGUGACCGGAGCACUCCUGUGAUUCCCCGUGGUUGCAAAGGAGAAGUGCUGCUGGUGCUGCUGUGGUCCACUGCCCUCAUUCAUCAUGGGAGGAGACACUAACUCUCAAUCAGAAGUUGGUGAAAGGAAAGAUGGGGUUUUUUCCUACCCAAGUUUGCCAAUUUCUGUGGAGCCUGGACAGAUAACACCUGCCUUUGUCUAAGCCACCGUCAUUUCUCACUGGGUUCAUUGCCACACUUUCCUGAUGGGUGUAGCACACUUGCCCUCAUCUGAACUGUCCUCCACUCUGCAGCCAACGGGGUGUUUUCAAAAUGCAAAAUUUGUUGUCACCUGUGCUCCACUCGGUUAUACCUCAACCGCCUUCUAUUGCUCUUAGGAUAGAGACCGGCCACAGGGGUCCCUUCUUGUAGAUUUUCCUCAUUCUUUUUCACCACAGGGCACUGCGCAGGAGUUUCCCCCUGCUAGGAAUGCUAGCAUUUCCUGCUAGGAAUGCUCUCCAUGGCCUCAUGCACCCAGUUCACUCUUCAGGAAAUCGGCUCACCCAUCACUUGCUCAAGGAGGUCUCCCACGGUUCCCUGACUAGUUCUGGGUUCUCUCCUGCACCACUGCCCUCUCAUACCUCAGAGGUGAUGUUGCAUUUACAUGUGUGAUUCUUUGCCUAAUAUCUGUCUGCACCCACCAGCUGUGGGUUUCAUGAGAAUGAGUUUAUGCUAUCCCCCAAACGGUGACUGGCACAUAGUAGAGGCUCAUUAAAUACUUGUAGAAUGAAGAAUGGAGUGACUGAACUGUUCCAACAAGCAUUUUAGAAGCAGAAAAUAUAGUGAGGUGUGGGGUUGGGGUGAGGAGGAAAGAAGAACAUUAGAGUCACGCACAUGAUGGCAGAGAAAAGUGAUAAUCUCUUGUUCGAGGACACAAAUCCUCAAAAAACAGAAAAGUAACCCAAAACAGGCACUGUUCCCCCCCAAAUUAAAGCUUUUCUGUGUAACUAUAAAAGGGAGUUCUAUGUACAUUAAUAGUCCCGGAGAUCAUCACCCCUGUAUUCUAGGUGAGAACAUUAACUUAUAUUUCUAAGGUUAACCCUAAAUAUUAAACAAAGAUUUAAUUACAUUAUUAUAGCCCUAUAUUGAAAAGGAAAUGUCAUAAAAAAUAAUGGAAAUCCAGAUUUUCUCUUGAAAAAUUCAUUUGGAAAAUAACCCAAUAUGCGAGGUCAGAUAACUGCACAGCGUAUGUCUGGUGUAACACACAUUCAUGUGUGUCUCUUGUGCCGUAUGUGUGUGUGCUACCUGGAAAUACAUUCUCUGAUGCUGACACUUGGGUAUUUAAUUUUCUUAUGGAACAUUUAGUGGGUUGAUGGUGCCAGUUGAGAUGAUUUAAUGAGGCCAAAUUAUGGAUAAUUUUCUCAUAAACUGAGUGAAGAUCAUUGUGUUCUGUGACACAGGUUUCACCCCCACCUCCAUCUGGACAUGGGCAGAUGCAGCCGAGGGCAUGGGACUGAAGUGGGUGGAUGGAUGGUAUAAAUCACUCCUCGAUAAUCAGUAACCCAAGGUUGACUUGUAUAACAUAACAUUGAGUACUACUACGUUCAAGGCUUGGUAGAAGGUGCUGGGGCCUGUGGGGACCCCACAGUAGCUUUAGGCCUACUUUCCUAUUUGAUGGAUACAUUAUUCCUGAAGUUGGACUAUUGUACAGGGACUCCUUUUACAGGCAAGGAUGUGCAAAUGUUAGUCCUUGGUUGGCCAAAGGCAGAGUGUUUUUAAUCUAACCCCCUGUGGAGAAGACAAUCAUUUGACAUUCACCCUGCAGACCUUUAAGGUCUGAGGCAAAGCCAGGAGCUGUGGUUCUGUGCUGCGGCUCUGUGCUGCCUCAGGGAGCACUUCUAGUCCUUUUGGGGAGCAUCUCCAGAACAUUGCCCCCGGGAUUCAAACACAAAGUCAACUGAUUGGCUUAUUUCCAUAUCAGUCACUCAGCAUUUACUUAAGGAAUAACCACAGGCAAUCUUCCCUCCUGGGCACCAGGUUGGUGAGCCCGGUCUGGAAAAGUGACCAGCUGCGCCCUCUGGGGCGAGGGGCCCAGGCUGCAGCCAUCGGUGACCCCUGGUCCUAUUUUCAUUCCCCCUUUUUCACUGAGUUUGGACUCCGCUGCCUGAACAAUGCUGUCACACUCUGGUGUUCAAAGCGACCCAGGCGCUUUGCUCUGGGACCAUUGAAAUGAUGGACUGUCAUGGUUUCCCCUCUUAAUGCUCAUUGAAUGCCUAUUUGGGGAGCACUUCAUUUGCACAUCAUUUACGAGCUAGACAGUUUUGGGUGAGAAUUCAGUGUUGCUCUUGCACGGGAGCCAUGUUUUAUUUAAAUAAGAUGAGCCGCUGUUACCCUAAGUACAGGCCUGCACAUGUACUUCUAACUAUUUGCACUAAGACUUAUCGUGGAAUUAUAUUACAGUUCUUAACCAAAAUAACAUUCAGGUUGCAAAGGAGGAAAAUAGGUUGAAACAAGAGAAUGCAUUUUAUUUAUGGUAAUUUUAAGAAGAAUGCAUGAGAAUUACAGUCUCAUGUAAUAAGCAUUAGCUUAGAGAUUUAUUGCCUUAUCUAUGUCUUAAAUUUAAUAGAUAGUAAGAAUACAAAUGCUAAUAUAAUACAAACCUUGGAGCAGUCAGUCAAAUCAUUAUAUAUUGUAUUAACUGGGCAGAUGCGGAUAUUGUUUAUAAAUAUUAUUUCUGAUUUCUGUGUCAGAGACGUCAAAAGCAUAGAAGGUAGCUUUAUGUAUAAACAGAAAUAAAUCAAAAUGUAAGGUAUAAAAAAGACUAUAAUGGUCCCUAGAGAUCAUACCUAGGUAUAGAAACAGAAGAAAAUUCUUUUUUUUUUUUUAGAAAAUUAUUGUUUAAGUCAGAGUUUUAUUAUGUUGAAGAAAUUACUGGAGAGCAAAUGAGGCCCCUUUCCUUAGAAGUUAAAUAAACAGACACAUACAUUUCACUUAUUCAUGGUGAUUAUAAAUGACUAGGGUGAGAACUUUAAUGUCAUUACUGUAAGGAUAAUAUCAACCACUUUUAGUCCCUUUUUGUUUUUUAAUGAUCAUGGAAAGCAACAGAACAUAAAAUUCUUAGACAGUUUCUUUAAUUAAAAUUGGAAAUGAAAGAGUUAUUUGGGGGCUGUUUCUCUGAAUGAAGAAUAUUGAUAUUUUUAAUUGAAUUCUGAAUUGAGUUUCCAAUAAAUUGAAAUGCAGGGAUUUCUCUCCAACUACAUGGAAUAUUUUAGCAGAUUAAUGACUGAUCAUUUCAAGAGUCAAAAGGCCUGGAACCAGCUUUUGAUGUGAGAAAAUGAGCUCCUGUAUUUUCAUUUGAAGAGUUUAUUCAGCUGUGGUUAAGGUACAUUAACAACAAAUAGAUUUCAAAGUUUGAGUGUUGCUAUUACUAGUUUAUAAUGUCUGGUGUGGUUGGCAAUUAUUUAACCUGUGUAACAGCACCUCUGUCCUCUGCCGGCCUCAGUUCCACACCUAUGGUUUUGAAAUGACAUUUUCCCUCUGCAAUUAUGAAGCUGGCAAUGACUCUUUGCACCUGGCUCACAGUUCUUUGUCUUCCAUGGAAAUAAAACCAUGUGGUUUGGGUGAUUUGGGUGAGUGUUUGGUCUACACAUCUUGGGAUAGCCUUGGUGAAUGGGCCUCCAUUUUAUAAAGAUGACCAAGACUGUGAGGGGUUUGCAGUCCCUGUAGAAAAGCUAUUAUAAAGCAG